GACGGGCGGGAGGCAGGGCCGGGGGUGCCCCUGGCAGCUGGAGAGAGGCGGCCGUCGGGGGGCGGGGGGGGGGGGGGGGGGGUAGGGGGGGACGCGGGGAUGGCUGAGGGGGUCUCGGCCCACAAACCAGUCCGGUGGCGUCUGAUUUCAGAUCCUGAGUCGACUCCCUGUGCUUUGCGGCGGAGGGAGGCGAUGCUGGUUCCCCGCCACACGUCGCUGCUGUCCGGGGAGCUGCAGAGCUGCGGCGAGCCCGUCACGUUGCUGGGGCCGGGCAGCGAGGCGGGCACCAUGCCGGGGAAAGCGGGCUGAUAGAGGUGCGACUGCAGCCCGGCGCCGUUGGAGCCCGCCAGGCUGUUGGAAAGCCCCAUGGAGUUGGGCGGCGGCCCGGCCGCCAGGCUGCACUGGGACAGGGACUGCGCCAUGGCCUGCUGCCUGCCCAGCGCCGGCGGCAGCGGCAGCUGCGACACCCCGGGCAUGGCGGCGGCGGCCCAGCGCGUGUCGUUGGCGUGGAAGGAGCAGAGGCUGUCGCCCAUGGCGGCGGCGGCGGCGGCGGCGGCCGAAGGGAACUGCGGCAGCCCCGGUGUCGGCAGCAGCGUGCCCGGGGCGCGGAACACGUUGGUCGUCUUCUUGCGCUUCUUCCACUUGGCCCGACGGUUCUGGAACCACACCUGGGGGCCGCAGCGACACACUCCGUUAGCGACACCCGCCCCGUCCUGCCCGCCCCGACCCCCAUCCCCCGCCUCCCCCCGGUCCCGGCGCUAGGGGGCGCGGCGGGAGGGACCCCUGCCCGCUCGCCCUCCCGUGCCUCCUCCGGCCUCACGCACUAUUGCGGCCCCACGAGCCGCGGUGCGAGCUCCAACUGCUGCAACUUCUGGCAACGAGAGGGUCUGAGUGUCCCACCCUGGACGGAGCUGCCCGCAGCCCCCUCGCUCGGGAGGAGAAGCCAGAGCUUUAUGAAGAUCUCAUUGGAAUCCAGCGGAUGAUUAAUGUGAAGAUUUGGUAGGAAAUCUGGAGAGCUGUAUUAAAGCUCAGAUCUCAGGUUCAUUUCGAUCAGCCAGCCGUGAACUCUGGGCCGAAUUCAUUACACUUUAAUAGUGCUGGGAGAGGGAGAAAAUGCAAUUUCUCAUUCCAUUAGAAAACUAGAAAAUACUCUCAGCUUGUCCCCUAUUAAGAUGUGGCAGGUGACGGGACCAUUGUGGGGGACACGGUCAAUGGAAUUACAGCACAUUAUUUUUGUUCGUAUAAAAUAUUGAAAGGCAAGCCUGACUGUGCAGAAGUUAUUUCACUGAUUUGGUUUUUAUGUAAAUAAAAUAUUGAAAGUUAAUUAAUCCGUGCUAGAGACUAAUGAUUAUGCUUAUUAUAUUGCAUUUGAUCGCGUAAUUUGCAUGAUUCUCGCAUUGCUGCUUAAUAAGCCAUUCCAGGUUAUAAAUAAUUCUGAAAUUGGUUUCUAAUAAUGGCAUGCUAUAAAAAGAAUGGUUUUAUUACACCAGCCUGAAAAGCAGAGCAAUAUCAGACGUGGAAUUGGACUCUCGUUUAAGCACCAGCCGCUCUAAUAAUUAUUUAAAUGUAUCAUAUACAUUAAAUACAGAUCUAGGACGAGGGAAGAGGUAAUUUAUCCUGGCAUCCAAAACCCUUAAAAACAUAUACAGCCGCUAUAAAUUAACUAUUUAUAUCACUUCUUAAUCAAUGCGGAGCCCUCGCGCUGCAAGGAACGUGUGGGCAAUCUGUUAACUAUAAAGAAAACUAUAAAGUACUUGUAUAAGAACAUAAACCAAUUACUAUUUAAUUUAAAUUUGGUCAAGGAGCGGUGGUACAGCAGAUUGUGAAGUAAAUACAUUUUACAUAAAUUAUUUUGCACUAGAUUACAUAAUGUUAAUCAUUCUGAAGUGUUAAUUAAGAAGGUUGUGUUGAUCUGAUUACUUUUUAAACUACAGAACAUUAUUGUAAAAAAUAUUUAAAUUGCCACCCUAUUAAACUGUUUUUAUCAGCAGCCUCGAGCUAUUAUCAUUGGUUUAAGAUUAUGCUGAGGCCAUUAAAACACUUUGUCUUUCUUUCUACGGAUUUCUUUGAUGUGCUGUUAGAAAAUAACUAUUUCCAUUUUAUAUUUUACUUCAUUUACCACACUCCUAAUAUUGAAAUUGGUAUCAUUAACCUUUGGGAAACCCAAUAAAGUUUAAUAGACCUCGUUUUCUUUUUUCAUAGAGUCAGUUGUCCAAUUAUAUUUUAUUUGUGAAUCUAAUUUCUUUCUUAAUUUAAAGUAAUUAUAGUCCUGCGUAGGCUGGGUCAAAUUGUUUUACUUUCUAGAAGCAGACGCGCAUUUUCUGUCACAUUCAGGACCUGGGACGGUUUCUGUUGAGGGGUUUCUGCUGCGUGCCUUUAUUUGGCAGAGGGGCCAGGGCUUGCCGACGGCAAUUUUGAGAGCCGGAGCUCCCAGAGCGCUGCCCUGAACUGAGAGAGCGCAUCCCACAGUGAGCGCUCCGCUCCUGAACUGCGCCCUCGGCGGGAUAUUAACGCAGCCCUGGCCCCGGAGCGCACGCCGAGCGGUCCGGCAGAGAUCCAUCUCUCACUUCUUCCAACUCCUCUCGUUUGCUUUCAGUGGUUUCUUAUGUGCCUACGUGCACGGGUAUGUCUCUCUGUGUGCAUAUCUGCGCGCACUCUAGGCGAUAGAAAAAUCGCUCCCUGCGUGUCGAAGUUACUCGCUCCUCCUGCCGAAUCCGACAUCCUAAUCGAGGAAACACCUAUUUUGGAUACCUCUGCGCUCAUCAAAAGUGCCUUUUGGCAGACGGCUUCCUCCACUCCCUCUGCGCCCUCCUUUCAGCACCGCGAACAGCUGCCCCGGCGACGGGGAGGGAGAGUGGGACGCGGGGACGGCCUCGCCGACCCGGGGCGAUUCCUCUGAGCUCGGACCCUUUGCCACGCUGGGGCUGCCCCCUCUCGGGCUAUGACUCCUGCGUCCUCCUUUGAGCUCCAGGAGCCCACA